rnacentral:misc_RNA from 1 species
AAGUCGUAACAAGGUUUCCGUAGGUGAACCUGCGGAAGGAUCAUUAAUGAUUUUAAAGCGAGUCGAGCGUUAAGCGAGGCUUGCGAAAAUAUUUAAAACCCCACUCUUUUUAACUUUAAAAAAAAUAAAUCAUGAUACAUGAAUUUAAAAAAAGAUCACUUUCAACAACGGAUCUCUUGGCUCUC